UGGGGAAUAUUGCACAAUGGGCGCAAGCCUGAUGCAGCCAUGCCGCGUGUAUGAAGAAGGCCUUCGGGUUGUAAAGUACUUUCAGCGGGGAGGAAGGGAGUAAAGUUAAUACCUUUGCUCAUUGACGUUACCCGCAGAAGAAGCACCGGCUAACUCCGUGCUAGCAGCCGCGGUAAUACGGAGGGUGCAAGCGUUAAUCGGAAUUACUGGGCGUAAAGCGCACGCAGGCGGUUUGUUAAGUCAGAUGUGAAAUCCCCGGGCUCAACCUGGGAACUGCAUCUGAUACUGGCAAGCUUGAGUCUCGUAGAGGGGGGUAGAAUUCCAGGUGUAGCGGUGAAAUGCGUAGAGAUCUGGAGGAAUACCGGUGGCGAAGGCGGCCCCCUGGACGAAGACUGACGCUCAGGUGCGAAAGCGUGGGGAGCAAACAGG
rnacentral:rRNA from 1 species